rnacentral:ncRNA from 1 species
CAAUUGAAAAAGCAAAGUCUUUGAAAGAAGAUGACGCAAAGCCGUGAGUCUAAAGCAGUUCUACUGCCAGGAUUGUCAGGUUGCCAAU